CAUGAGUAUCAUGAGUGAGGGAGAUGGAGCAAACAGGAAGCCCUGAAGGAGUUCCAGAGUGUGAUGGGACUCCCUGCCUGGCCUGAGAUACCCAGUUAGCACCUGCAGAUCAGGACUUCCUCUCCCCAGCAAUGAAGCUUCCAGCCUUUGCAUCUGUAACAGCCUCCCCUGUAAUUUAUGCAUUCUAUGAUCACAGCAGCAUCCCUUGCUCACCUCUCCCUCCAGCAACUUGAGCAUCCUUGUCACACAUCUUGGGCAUCUGGCCUUCACUACCGUGGAAGAUUUGUGCAGGAGUCAGAACAUCCUAGACUGGCGCAGGCUUAGUGUGGUAGGAGCUGGAUUCAUCAGCCUGAAGUCCACAGGGCAGGCAGUCAGGAAGGAAAAGGAGAGCAGUUGCUUCACUCCAGUGAGGUGGGUCAGCAGAUGGGCAGCAAUGAGGGAUUAUCUUUAAAGUAAGAAGGAAGCUUUUCUUUCCUUGAAUGAUGAAUCUUUUAAUGCCUCAGAAUCAUGGAUCAGACAGUUGGGAGGUGCCUCACGAGACCCAGUCCUCGAAAAGAAUCAAAUGGUGGCCCCAGUUGCAGCUGCUGUGCCAGAUGUGGUUUUACUGAAGCAUGUAUGCCUCCAGUACGUAUUAAGUGGCCAUUGAUCUGGAAGCAGCAAGAGCAAGACUGUGUCUUGACAGCAAGAGCAAGAAUGCACCGGCUAAAGAAGAGUCAUUAAGAACAAAGGCUGUGCUAAAACUACACUUGAAGAUGUUACACCCUUGUAAAUAAAAAAAUUCUAAGGAAUCCACCAAAAAAUUUUAGAGCUUAUUCAGCAAGGUUGCAGGAGACAAGAUGAAUAUAUGAAAAUCAAUUGUAGUUCUAUACACAAAUAAUGAACAAUCCAAAACUGAAAUUAAGGAAACAAUUUCAUUUAUAAUAGCAUCAAAAAAUAAAAUACUUAGGAAUAAAUUUAGCAGAAGAAGUGUAAGACUUUUAAGGCCAGAAACUCCAAAAUACCAUCAAAAGAAAUUAAUGAUUUAAAUGGAAAUACGUUCCAUGUUUAUAGAUCAGAAGAUUUAAUAUUAUUAAGAUGGCAAUACUCCCCAAAUUGAUUUACAGAUUUGACAUAAUCCCCAUUAAAUUCCAGCUGCAUUUUUUUUUUGCAGGAAAUGACAAGUUGAACCUCAAAAACCCCAGAAUAGUCAUAACAUCUUGACAAAGAAAAAGUUGGAGGACACACGUUUCCUGAUUCCCAAAUUUACCACAAGGCUACAGAUACUACAAAUAAACACCGGCAUGAAGAUAGACAUACAGACCAGUCAAAUAGAAUUGAGGGUUUAGAAAUCAAGCCAUACUUUUAUGGUCAGUCCAUUUUUAACACGUGUGCCAAGACAAAUCCAUGGGGGAAGAAACAUCUUUUCAAUAAGUGGUGGGACAACUGGAUAUCCACAUACAAAAGAAUAAAGUUGGACCCCUGUCUCACACUAUAUACAAAAAUUAACUCAAAAUGGAUCAGAGGUCAAAAUGUAAUAGCUAAAAUUAUAAGACACUUAGAAGAAAACAUAGGCAUCAAUCUAGGUGACCUUAGGUUAGGCAGUGGAUUUUUAGGUAGCAA